UACGGGGGGGGCAAGCGUUGUUCGGAAUUACUGGGCGUAAAGGGCUCGUAGGUGGUCAACUAAGUCGGACGUGAAAUCCCUCGGCUUAACCGGGGAACUGCGUCCGAUACUGGAUGACUUGAGUUCGGGAGAGGGAUGCGGAAUUCCAGGUGUAGCGGUGAAAUGCGUAGAUAUCUGGAGGAACACCGGUGGCGAAGGCGGCAUCCUGGACCGACACUGACGCUGAGGAGCGAAAGCCAGGGGAGCAAACGGGG
rnacentral:rRNA from 1 species